AUCCAGAUGACGGGUCCUAAAUGGGACGAAACGCACGUCCUGGAU
rnacentral:hammerhead_ribozyme from 1 species